UGGCUUAGUGGUUAAGCAUUUGGCUGCUAACCGAAAAGUUGGUGGUUGGAACCCACC
rnacentral:tRNA from 1 species